rnacentral:tRNA from 1 species
GCGCCGGUGGUGUAAGGCGAACAUCGCUGCCCGGAAAGCAGAAGGUGCGGGUUCGAGUCCCGCCUGGUGCA